GAUGAACGCUGGCGGCGUGCCUAAUACAUGCAAGUCGAGCGAACAGAUGAGGAGCUUGCUCCUCUGACGUUAGCGGCGGACGGGUGAGUAACACGUGGAUAACCUACCUAUAAGACUGGGAUAACUUCGGGAAGCCGGAGCUAAUACCGGAUAAUAUAUUGAACCGCAUGGUUCAAUAGCGAAAGACGGUUUUGCUGUCACUUAUAGAUGGAUCCGCGCCGCAUUAGCUAGUUGGUAAGGUAACGGCUUACCAAGGCAACGAUGCGUAGCCGACCCGAGAGGGUGAUCGGCCACACUGGAACUGAGACACGGUCCAGACUCCUACGGGAGGCAGCAGUAGGGAAUCUUCCGCAAUGGGCGAAAGCCUGACGGAGCAACGCCGCGUGAGUGAUGAAGGUCUUCGGAUCGUAAAACUCUGUUAUUAGGGAAGAACAAAUGUGUAAGUAACUAUGCACGUCUUGACGGUACCUAAUCAGAAAGCCACGGCUAACUACGUG
rnacentral:rRNA from 1 species